UUCCCUCUCUUCCUAACCAUCAAUUUUGUCCGGCUGAAAUCUAGUUAAGUGGAUUUCCAGAGCUCCCUUGGGGAUAAAGAAAGGUCACAAAGAGGCAGAGGGGGAAUCGUUUCCUCUUUCUCUUCUGAAAUCUGGAGAAACAAGCCUCAUAAAAAUGGGAAAACCAAGCAGAAGCAGUACAUGAACGUCACAUAAGCACUACAAUCCCACUGAUAAGACCUGAGGCAUCCUACAAAAGAAGUUGGUCCUACUGAACUGAGAAUAGGACCCCCGUUGAAGGAAUCAGAGAAAGAACCUGAAGAGCUUGAAGGGGAU
rnacentral:sRNA from 1 species